rnacentral:rRNA from 1 species
UACGAAGGGGGGCUAGCGUUGCUCGGAAUCACUGGGCGUAAAGGGUGCGUAGGCGGGUCUUUAAGUCAGGGGUGAAAUCCUGGAGCUCAACUCCAGAACUGCCUUUGAUACUGAGAUCUUGAGUUCGGGAGAGGUGAGUGGAACUGCGAGUGUAGAGGUGAAAUUCGUAGAUAUUCGCAAGAACACCAGUGGCGAAGGCGGCUCACUGGCCCGAUACUGACGCUGAGGCACGAAAGCGUGGGGAGCAAACAGG